rnacentral:lncRNA from 1 species
UUUCGGGAAUCGUGUUUGUUCCGCGUGCUGUCCUCUAUCAAAAAUGAUACACUGAAGCUCGAGGAUACAAAAGGGAGGCUGAUGUCUGCAGAGGAACAAACCUCCGCACGAAGCUCACCGGACAAUGUACCAGCGACUUUGAUGACCCCAGUGACUGAGAUCGCUGGAACUGAAACUGUAUCUCUCGAUUAUGUGGAUGUGCAAGAAUGGCUGGACAUUAAUUCACUGGAAGAUGAUGAAGAGGAAGAGUUGGUGGAAAUAACCUGGGAAAGCAUCAUUGGUGUUGUAUUCAUCAUUUUAGAUGUUUACUGGGUCGGUUCCCAUUUGACAAAGUGGAUAAAGAGUUUGGAGAAGAUUUCCACUAAAAGAAAGAGCAACUCUAAAAAGAGGAAGAGACAGCGUAAUAUUUCUUGAAAGUUUACAUGCUUAGGAUGUUUGUGCUUUUAUGACAAUAAAAUAAAUAUACAACAUGAAGCAUCGUGUUCGAAUCUUAUUUUGUCAAUGUAUAUUUCCAUCGGCUGUUUUGGCCUUUAUUGACCCCAAUAUGCAUGCAUAGUUGGUUGGCAGCUGUGUACAUCUCAAAUGUUAUUAACCUUCGAAAUAUUGUCCACCAGGACAGUCUCCAAUGUUAACAAGUAAAAAAAGACAUAAAAUGUCAUAGCCCUCAUUGUUUUAGUUAUUUAGCUGUUUGGACCUAAAGAGCUAAACCCAUAUUUAUAUGAACAACUAAAAUGGCCGCCAGUCUUCCAAUCAGCCAUCAUUGAUCAGAUCACAAAAUAAAGAGAGGGGCACGUGUAUGCCAUCA